rnacentral:rRNA from 1 species
AAUCAACGCUGGCGGCGUGCCUAACACAUGCAAGUCGAACGCGAAAGCCCCUUCGGGGGUAAGUAGAGUGGCGUCCGGGUGAGUAACACGUAGGUAAUCUACCUUCGGGUGGGGAAUAACCAGUCGAAAGAUUGGCUAAUACCGCAUAAUGCAGCGGCACCUAAUGGUGAUUAGUUGUUAAAGCGGGGGAUCGUAAGACCUCGCGUCUGAAGAGGAGCCUGCGGCGGAUUAGCUAGUUGGUAAGGAAUGGCUUACCAAGGCGACGAUCCGUAACCGGCCUGAGAGGGCGGUCGGUCACACUGACACUGACAUACGGGUCAGACUCCUACGGGAGGCGGCAGUCGGGAAUUUUGGGCAAUGGGCGAAAGCCUGACCCAGCAACGCCGCGUGAAGGAUGAAAUCCCUCGGGAUGUAAACUCGCAAGAACGGAAGAAUAAGCGAGAGUUAAUAUCUUUCGUGAUGACGGUACCGUUUGUAAGCUCCGGCUAACUCCGUGCCAGCCGCCGCCGUAAC